rnacentral:rRNA from 1 species
AUUGAACGCUGGCGGCAUGCUUUACACAUGCAAGUCGAACGGUAACAGGCCGCAAGGUGCUGACGAGUGGCGAACGGGUGAGUAAUGCAUCGGAACGUGCCCAGUCGUGGGGAUAACUACCUGAAAGCGUAGCUAAUACCCCAUUCGCACUUAUGAUGAAAGCCGGGGACCGUAAAGCCUCGCGCGAUUUGAACCGCCGAAGUCAGAUUAGGUAGUUGGUGGGGUAAAGGCUCACCAAGCCAACGAUCUGUAGCUGGUCUGAGAGGGCGACCAGCCACACUGGGACUGAGACACGGCCCAGACUCCUACGGGAGGCAGCAGUGGGGAAUUUUGGACAAUGGGCGCAAGCCUGAUCCAGCAAUGCCGCGUGCAGGAAGAAGGCCUUCGGGUUGUAAACUGCUUUUGUACGGAACGAAACGGCUCUGGUUAAUACCCGGGGCUAAUGACGGUACCGUAAGAAUAAGCACCGGCUAACUACGUG